UCCGCAAGGGUAAGACCCCAGAAAGACUAUCUGGUUGAUAGGUCGAAGGUGUAAGUGCAGCAAUGUAUUUAGCUUAUCGAUACUAAUAGGUCGAGGACUUGACCAAUAUUUAUUUGAUGUUCAUUCACU
rnacentral:rRNA from 1 species